GUGCCAGCAGCCGCGGUAAGACGAACCGUGCGAACGUUAUUCGGAAUCACUGGGCUUAAAGGGCGCGUAGGCGGGUCAUCAAGUCCGGGGUGAAAUCCCACGGCCCAACCGUGGAAGUGCCUUGGAUACUGAAGACCUCGAGGGGGAUAGGGGCGUGCGGAACUCAGGGUGGAGCGGUGAAAUGCGUAGAUAUCCUGAGGAACACCGGUGGCGAAAGCGGCGCGCUGGAUCCCUUCUGACGCUGAGGCGCGAAAGCCAGGGGAGCAAACGGGAUUAGAUACCCCAGUAGUCC
rnacentral:rRNA from 1 species